GUUACCAAUAUGCUCUUACUAUUUUUUUCUAUUUUGGCCUGUAACACUUCAAACACUUAAUGGCUCAUCUACAGUCGUAGUCAGCACCUAACAAGGCUAGCCAAUGACUUUCCUGCCUUUUUGCUUAACCGGUCGAGGUUACCAAUAUGCUCAUACAAAUUUUUUCUCUUUUGGCCUGUAACACUUAAAUCAGUAAAAAAAAAAAAAAAAAAAAGUAUUUAUGCAUGUGUAUUAAUAAACAAAAUCAGUAAAAAAAAAAAAAAAGUACUAUUUUUUUCUAUUUUGGCCUGUAACACUUCAAACACUUAAUGGCUCAUCUACAGUCUUAGUCGGCACCUAACAAGGCUAGCCAAUGACUUUCCUGCCUUUUUUGCUUAACCGGUCGAGGUUACCAAUAUGCUCAUACAAUCUUUUUCUCUUUUGGCCUGUAACACUUAAAUCAGUUAAAAAAAAAAGUAUUAAUGCAUGUAUAUUGAUGAACAAAAUCAGUUUAAAAAAAAAAAAAAAAAAGUAUUUAUGCAUGUAUAUUGAUGAACAAAAUCAGUUAAAAAAAAAAAAAGUAUUUAUGCAUGUAUAUUGAUAAACAAAAUCAG
ensembl:lncRNA